rnacentral:rRNA from 1 species
GUGGGGAAUAUUGCACAAUGGGCGAAAGCCUGAUGCAGCGACGCCGCGUGGGGGAUGACGGUCUUCGGAUUGUAAACCCCUUUCAGUAGGGACGAAGCGCAAGUGACGGUACCUGCAGAAGAAGCACCGGCCAACUACGUGCCAGCAGCCGCGGUAAUACGUAGGGUGCGAGCGUUGUCCGGAAUUACUGGGCGUAAAGAGCUCGUAGGCGGUUUGUCGCGUCGUCCGUGAAAACUCGGAGCUUAACUCCGAGCUUGCGGGCGAUACGGGCAGACUUGAGUACUACAGGGGAGACUGGAAUUCCUGGUGUAGCGGUGAAAUGCGCAGAUAUCAGGAGGAACACCGGUGGCGAAGGCGGGUCUCUGGGUAGUAACUGACGCUGAGGAGCGAAAGCAUGGGUAGCGAACAGGAUUAGAUACCCUUGUAGUCC